GACGGGGCCCGCACAAGCGGUGGAGCAUGUGGUUUAAUUCGAUGCAACGCGAAGAACCUUACCUGGGCUUGACAUCCCGAGAAUCCCCUGGAAACAGGGGAGUGCCUUUCGGGGAACUCGGAGACAGGUGCUGCAUGGCUGUCGUCAGCUCGUGUCGUGAGAUGUUGGGUUAAGUCCCGCAACGAGCGCAACCCUUGUCUUUAAUUGCCAGCAUUCAGUUGGGCACUUUAAAGAGACUGCCGGUGUUAAGCCGGAGGAAGGUGGGGAUGACGUCAAGUCCUCAUGGCCUUUAUGCCCAGGGCUACACACGUGCUACAAUGGGUGGUACAAGGAGAUGCCAACUCGCGAGAGCGCGCCAAUCUCAGAAAGCCAUCCUCAGUUCGGAUUGGAGUCUGCAACUCGACUCCAUGAAGUUGGAAUCGCUAGUAAUCGCGGAUCAGCACGCCGCGGUGAAUACGUUCCCGGGCCUU
rnacentral:rRNA from 1 species